CCUUCAUCCCACUCCAAUAUAGUCUAGAAAAGGAUCAAGUCACCUAGUAUUUGUUCACAUGCCUCCUUCUCAGAGAGGCCUUGCCUAGGGAACCUUUAUGAAAAAGAAGCACCCGUCUUAAGUUAUUUAUUUUCCACUUUAGCUUUCCCUUCCCCAACCUACAACUGCCUAUUUAUUCGUGUUGAAGACAUUGUGACCCUAUUGGACCCGAAUCUCAGAUGUCCUCUCAAACUUGAGACAGCAGGCCCAGUAAUUUCCCCCACCCCACUGAAGUGGAUGGCACCAGUGUGCACCUGGUGGGCCUGCAUGUCCCUGGGAUUACCUUUUAAUCAGGCCAAAACCCUAAAUAGGCCCCACCAUCCA
rnacentral:lncRNA from 1 species